AUUCAGCUAUCUGAAACUAGGCAAUGGUAGAUAAAAAUAUCAUAAGAUAAUGUUGAUGUCUUAUGAGAUGGGAGAGAUGGAAUUUGGAUUGUUUCUAUUUAGAAUCUAGGAUUUGGGUGCGGAAUGCCAAGCAUGGGAUACUAAAGUGUGUAGGGUGUUUUGUCACACAAAGGCGAGAUUCGAUCUAUGUGGUUAAUGGAGGCUAGAAUUAUUGGGUUCUGAAGGGCUGCAUGGUUCCGCGUACAACCUAGUGGCCAUUUAGAUGGGUGUGGUUUAAGUGGAGUUUUAAUGGGUGUAGUUUUGUGAGGUUAGAAAUAGGGAUGGGUUUAAAUAUGAAGCCUGUACAAGGUCUUAAUUGUGUGGCAACUAGUUUUCUAUAUAGCGAUUGUUGGACGACAGAGAGAUCCAUGCAUGUAUGGUGUGGAUAGCAGCAUGAAGGUGUUAAGGGUGCCAUUAGUGGCAGCAAAAUUGUCCGUGGAGAGAGGGUGGCACCACUUACAGCAGUGUAAUUGUACCUAGACAGAUUUAUUUAUCAUACACCUACAGCAAUUUGCGAAAAAAAAAGCAGACUUCUAAUAAAUGGGAUGUAGGCUUGAUUUUGCCUGUGGUAGUGAUGUUUGAGCUGCUAAGGUGUUUUAGUAGUUUGUUUACUGGGCAUGUUGCUUCACGGUGCUCAAGUCUUCAUGGAAUCUUGGUAUGGUUUGUACAUCCAAGUGCGUGAUUAAACCUAUAAUAUCCUUCUCAUCAGAGUAUCUUCAAUCUCCGCAAAGGGAGGAAUUGCUAGAUCCACUCUAGGCCAAGGUAUGCCUGCCUAUCAUGCUAACAUUUAGUAAUUGAGCCUGGAUUAUUCUAGGUUUGGCUGAACAGAAAUUGGAAUCAGGGGAGACUUCAUUGAGCUACCAUUCAAUCUCCGUGAACAGACAACAAAUUUGCUGCGGUCUGUCUGUUUAUGUAAAUUUUAUCCUGCCCUAAUGUGCAUGUAAAAAUACAAUGAGCUUCUAGUUAUGGUGUGGGAUAUAGCACUCCUAGAAAGUGAAUAUUGUGUUCCAAUCUAUUUUUCUUACAAUUUGGAACCUUGUCAAAUUUUAUCAUCAUCAGCAUCCCACAGGAUCAAGUUCAGCAUCCUCAUAUCUGGCAUCAGCGACAUCCUUAUGAACUAAUAAUAGUUCUGUGCC
rnacentral:lncRNA from 1 species